rnacentral:rRNA from 1 species
CUACGGGACGCUCCAGUGAGGAAUAUUGCACAAUGGGGGGAACCCUGAUGCAGCAACGCCGCGUGGAGGAUGACGCAUUUCGGUGUGUAAACUCCUUUUAUAUGUCAAGAAAAUGACGGUAGCAUAUGAAUAAGCACCGGCUAACUCCGUGCCAGCAGCCGCGGUAAUACGGAGGGUGCAAGCGUUACUCGGAAUCACUGGGCGUAAAGGACGCGUAGGCGGGUUGGAAAGUCAGGUGUGAAAUCCUACAGCUUAACUGUAGAACUGCACUUGAAACUUCUAAUCUAGAGUAUGGGCGGGAGAGAUGGAAUUAGUGGUGUAGGGGUAAAAUCCGUAGAUAUCACUAGGAAUACCUAAAGCGAAGGCGAUCUCCUGGAACAUUACUGACGCUAAGGCGUGAAAGCGUGGGGAGCAAACAGGAUUAGAUGCCCGCGUAGUC